AAGAGGGAAUGAGGUGACCGCGGGAUACCUUAUUACAGGUAUCCUGGGGAAAGUCCGGGCUCCAAAAAAGGGUACUGGGCAACACCCAGGAAAGGUAACUUUACGGAAAGUGUCACAGAGACCAAACCGCCGCAGUAGUCCGAAGGACUGCUGCGGUAAGGGUGCAAAGGUGGGGUAAGAGCCUACCAGUGAAAAAGUGAUUUUUCACCUGGACAAACCCUACCCGGAGCAAGGCCAAAUAGGAGGGUUUAACCCUCGGGUAGGCUGCUGGAGGCUUAGGGUAACCUGGGUCCUAGAUAAAUGGUCACCACCGAAGGGAUAUUUCCCUUUCGGUAACAGAACCCGGCUUACGUUUCCCUCUUUCCU
rnacentral:RNase_P_RNA from 1 species